UCAUCAACAAAAACCAAACAUAACUAUUGAAUGCCGCUCCCAUUCAUUUCAAAAUUACGCAUGCCUUUCAGCUUUUUUAUCAUUUUUACAGGAAAACGUGUUGUCGAUCAAAUUGCUUCCACAAGAAUCAUAACUGCAUGGGAUGCAACUCGGCUGGGCCGGCUUAUUCAAAAGACACAACCUCCACACAGAUUUCACUGACGAAAUAAUUUAUUGGACUGUUCCAUUUUUAGUUAGUACAGGGUUGAAAAAAAACUAAAUUAUAAUUUCGUUUUUAUUAGAGGUUAACACGUGGAUAAAUAUUCAUACUGCCCAUCGUAACAACCCUACAGUCAUAAAAGCCUGAAAUGUGAAAGUUCUUUAACCGACGAGGGUAAAAAAGAAUGGUCAUGUUCAAAAGUAUAGGUUCCGACAUCAAGACCAAGCAAGCCAGGCAGGAUUCAUCAUCCACUGCAAGGAUGCCUGGAGAACGAUUACGGCAAAUUUCUCCGAUGGAGGCAAAACACACUAUCGUUAAUCAUAAUAAACACUUAUCUAUCAAAUCUACAUUAAAACUGAUAUUCAAAUCUGAAAGAACUUUGUUUUCACCCAGCAAAAAAGAGAUACAAAAUUAUACGACAAAAUAAAAGUAACAGGUAAUGCAUGCGGUAACGAGUUUUAAGACUUAUCCACAGAAUGCUAUCAAAUAUUUAAAAUAUCGACAGAUUAUUCAGAAACGAAGGCGAUGUUGGAACCUUCAGAAACACAGCUUCUAUGUGUAACAGAAGACCGCAUGUCAAAUGAAGUAAAUAAUGGUCCUUAAUCAAGACUACUAAAUCUAAAAGUAAAGGUCAUGAGAACAUUCUGUUACACUUGUUAUGCUCCCCCAAAAUUUAUUUUUGGGGGAGCAUAUAGUCGCCGCUUCGUCUGUCCGUGCGUGUGUGCGUGCGUCUGUCUGUCCGUCCGUGCACAAUUUUUGUCCGGGCUAUUUCUCAGCAACUAAUGACCGGAAUUCAAUGAAGCUUUAUGGGAAGCUUCACUACCAAAAGGAGAUGUGCAUAUUAUCAGCGGGUUCUUGUCGGAUGAUUUUUCACAGAGUUAUGGCCCUUUGAAAUUUUCAAUAACAAAAGUAUUGUCCCACCAACUACUGUGCCCUCAAGACGUUUCCUUUUAUCUGAAUAUAUAGUGCAAUAUUGUGAAAAAAAAACGUUGGGGAGCAUCACCCGUCUCCGAUGGUUUCUUGUUUAACUUGUUGAAAUCGUUAAUAUAUACAUGUUUAUAAAUAAAUCAUCUUGCUAUCA